rnacentral:rRNA from 1 species
UACAGAGGAGCCAAGCGUUGUCCGGAUUGACUGGGCGUAAAGCGCACGCAGGCGGACGCGCGCGUGGGGUGUGAAAUCUGGCCGCUUAACGGCCAGGCGCCAUCCCAUACGGCGUGUCUGGAGUGAUGCAGAGGUCGAUGGAAUUGCCGGUGUAGUGGUGAAAUGCGUAGAGAUCGGCAGGAACACCGGUGGCGAAGGCGGCUCUCUGGACCACAACUGACGCUGAGGCGCGAAAGCUAGGGGAGCAAACAGG